UGAAACAAAAUGUUAAAUUUGAUAAUGGUUUUAAUAGCACGUAAUAUGCUUGAAAAUAUGUCAAUUUGUGAUUGCCAAUGAAUCUUUGUGUUACUUUACGAUGUAGGAUACUCUGUCUACAAAUGUCUAAUGGCUUAACACUGGUCACCUCCGGCAGUGGUCCAGGAGACGCCCUGCAAUUCAGCGCUGGGCUCAGCUGGGGGCCAGGCCUUUGAGAAGGUGAACUGUGCAGGGAAGCAGUAGCUGUGGGGUCCUCACCGUCCGCUCGGCCUUGCUUCACGGGGUCGUUGGUGCUCCUCAGGGUCCCGCAGAGCCUGCGUCUCUAUAGGGCAGUGACCAUCCAGGCCGGAACCUUAUCCUCAGAGCCCAGUUUGACGCAGGCCAGGCAUUUCCGCUUACUCCCCUUGGGUUGGACUUUGCACUCGGGUUUCUUCCAGUUCUUCUUCCGGCACCUUGUUUUCAAGAGUUUAAAUUCCAGCCUUACAAAUGUUCCAGCUGGGAAGGGCGUCUCCACGGCGCGAUCCACACUGGUCUCCUGGAAGGCCCACUGUAAGUGUGAGUGGAUUCCUCCAGGGCCACCUGCAGGCCCUAGCGCUGGGCCACAAGCGCUCGGCCCCGCCGAUGGAAUUGCUCUGAUAAUUAGUGAUGUUGGGGGUGUUUUUAUACGCCUGCUGGCCAUUUGUAUGUCUUUGGAAAAUGGCUAUUUAGAUGUGUUGCCAAGUUAAUCAGGGAAUUGGUUUUUGUUUUUUCCUGCUGUGCAUUUUUUCACAUAUUGAUUAGUAUUACAUAUAUUAUGGAUAGUAACAUAUUAUCCUACAUAUGGUUUACAAAUAUUUUCUCCCAUCCCAUAUAUUGCCUUUAUAUUUUGUUGAUUGUUUACUUUAUUGUGCAGAAACUUUUUACUUUGAUAUAGUUCCACUUUUUUAUUUUUGCUUUUGUUGCUUGUGUUCUUUGUGUAGGAUUCAAAACAUCAUUGCCACGACUAGUGGGUUGAACUAUUUUACACUCCCACCAACAGUGUAAAANNNNNNNNNNGCCCCCGCCCCCGCCCCGUCCACCCACGGGGCCAGCGGGAUCCACAGCCAUCUCUUGUUUCUGCUGUCACCCUGGCCCUGCGAA
rnacentral:lncRNA from 1 species